GAUGAACGCUGGCGGCGUGCCUAAUACAUGCAAGUCGAGCGAACGGACGAGAAGCUUGCUUCUCUGAUGUUAGCGGCGGACGGGUGAGUAACACGUGGAUAACCUACCUAUAAGACUGGUAUCACUUCGGGAAACCGGAGCUAAUACCGUAUGAUCUUUUGCACCGCAUGGUUCAAAAGUAAAAUACGGUCUUGCUGUAACUACUCGCUGGAUCCGCGCUGCAUUAGCUAGUUGGGAAGGUAACGGCUUACCAAGGGAACGAUGCAUAGCCGACCUGAGGGGGUGGUCGGCGACACUGGAACUGAGACACGGUCCAGACUCCUACGGGAGGCAGCAGUAGGGAAUGUGCCGCAAUGGGCGAAAGCCUGACGGAGCAACGCCGCGUGAGUGAUGAAGGUCCUCGGAUCGUAAAACUCUGUUAUUAGGGAAGAACAGAUGUGUAAGUAACUGUGCACAUCUUGACGGUACCUAAUCAGAAAGCAACGGCUAACUACGUG
rnacentral:rRNA from 1 species